rnacentral:rRNA from 1 species
UACGUAGGGUGCGAGCGUUAAUCGGAAUUACUGGGCGUAAAGCGUGCGCAGGCGGUUCGCCAAGUCAGGUGUGAAAUCCCCGGGCUUAACCUGGGAAUUGCGCUUGAAACUAGCGGGCUUGAGUGUGGCAGAGGGGGGUGGAAUUCCACGUGUAGCAGUGAAAUGCGUAGAGAUGUGGAGGAACACCGAUGGCGAAGGCAGCCCCUGGGCCUGCGCUGACGCUCAUGCACGAAAGCGUGGGGAGCAAACAGG